rnacentral:pre_miRNA from 1 species
GGCCCAAAUUUGAAGUAGAGUAGAUUAGUAUCAGUUGACCCUUCUAAUCUGCUGUACUUCAAAUUUAGGCCC